CUGCCUUGCCACGACAAGAGCAACACACUAGGAUGACUAAAGGAUGUAACACUUCUGGACGGGAAUUACAUGUUCAAGAAUUGUUUUGAAAUGUACAAGGAAGAUAUUGGCAUUCUCCUUGCGCCAUCAGCUGUUCAACAUCUGCGAGCUGCAAAGGCUCUCCUGUAUGACAAGGAAGCAGUAGACGCGGCAUUCGCAAUGCUCAUUUUAUGUGCUUCCAAGGGAUGCGGCCAAAGGACGACCUGCAGAUGUGCGAGUCACGUUUAUGGGAGCUGCAAAAAAGAAUUAAAGUGUAUCCCCAGUGUU
rnacentral:lncRNA from 1 species